rnacentral:rRNA from 1 species
AGAUUGAACGCUGGCGGCAUGCCUUACACAUGCAAGUCGAACGGCAGCACGGGAGCAAUCCUGGUGGCGAGUGGCGAACGGGUGAGUAAUAUAUCGGAACGUGCCCAGUCGUGGGGGAUAACGUAGAGAAAUUUACGCUAAUACCGCAUACGAUCCAAGGAUGAAAGCGGGGGACCGUAAGGCCUCGCGCGACUGGAGCGGCUGAUAUCAGAUUAGCUUGUUGGUGAGGUAAAAGCUCACCAAGGCGACGAUCUGUAGCUGGUUUGAGAGAACGACCAGCCACACUGGGACUGAGACACGGCCCAGACUCCUACGGGAGGCAGCAGUGGGAAUUUUGGACAAUGGGGGAAACCCUGAUCCAGCCAUCCCGCGUGUGCGAUGAAGGCCUUCGGGUUGUAAAGCACUUUUGGCAGGGAAGAAACGGCGUCCCGUUAAUACGGGCGUCACUGACGGUACCUGCAGAAUAAGCACCGGCUAACUACGUGACCACAGCCG